UUUCCGUAGGUGAACCUGCGGAAGGAUCAUUACAGAGUUCAUGCCCUCACGGGUAGAUCUCCCACCCUUGAAUAUUAUACCUUCGUUGCUUUGGCAGGCCGUGGAAACACCAGAGGCUCCGGCUGAUGCGUGCCUGCCAGAGGAAACAAACUCUGUUUUUAGUGAUGUCUGAGUACUAUAUAAUAGUUAAAACUUUCAACAACGGAUCUCUUGGUUCUG
rnacentral:misc_RNA from 1 species